CAACUCAAGGGGGCAUCAUUCA
rnacentral:miRNA from 1 species